UACAGAGGGUGCGAGCGUUGUCCGGAAUCACUGGGCGUAAAGGGCGCGUAGGCGGCUCGGUAAGGUUGCGGUGAAAGCCCGGGGCUCAACCCCGGGUCGGCCGUGGCAACUGCUGAGCUGGAGCACUGUAGAGGCAGGUGGAAUUCCGGGUGUAGCGGUGGAAUGCGUAGAGAUCCGGAAGAACACCGGUGGCGAAGGCGGCCUGCUGGGCAGUGGCUGACGCUGAGGCGCGACAGCGGUGGGGAGCAAACAGG
rnacentral:rRNA from 1 species